GUUUUGAAGCCGCUUCUUCGCUCGAGUUGGGUCUCGCCCAGCCCUGUCUCUUCCUACGUACUUUGUGCGGAGAAGUUUGGGAGCCCCGGCCCGCGGUGAAUUUGGCUUCAUUCAUGAGCGAGGAAUUAUUCUUGACAGAAGUAUUUUUAAAGAAAAAUAUUUACAAUGGCCUCAGCAGUUCUUAGUUCUGUUCCCACUACUGCUUCUCGUUUUGCCCUGUUGCAAGUGGAUAGUGGUAGUGGCUCUGAUUCUGAGCCUGGAAAAGGCAAAGGUAGGACUCCGGGAAAGUCUCAAACAAGCAAAUCAACUGCAAAUGAGAAAAAGAGAGAGAAAAGAAGAAAAAAGAAGGAACAGCAACAGACUGAAGCAAAUGAGCUCAGGAAUCUUGCUUUUAAGAAAAUUCCCCAGAAAUCUUCCCAUGCCACUUGUAAUGCUCAACAUGAGCUUCCUUUACCAAAUCCAGUACAGAAGGAUACACGAGAAGAAAAUUGGCAAGAGUGGAGACAAAGAGAUGAGCAGCUGACUUCUGAAAUGUUUGAAGCAGAUCUUGAGAAGGCAUUGUUGCUAAGUAAAUUAGAAUAUGAAGAACACAAAAAGGAGUAUGAAAAUAAUGAAAAUGCUUCAACUCAGUCAAAGGUUGUGAAUAAAAAAGAUAAAAGAAAGAAUCAUCAGGGAAAAGACAAACCUCUCACAGUAUCACUAAAAGAUUUUCAAUCUGAAGAUCACAUUAAUAAAAAGACAGAGGAAUUGAGUUCUUCUCAGACUUUAACACAUGAUGGAGGAUUCUUCAAUAGACUGGAAGAUGAUGUUCAUAAAAUUCUUAUUAGAGAAAAAAGAAGAGAACAGCUUACAGAAUAUAAUGGAACAGAUAAUUUUGCAGCUCAUGAACACAACCAGGAAGUAGUUUUGAAAGAUGGAAGAAUUGAAAGACUAAAGUUGGAACUUGAAAGGAAAGAUGCUGAAAUCCAGAAGCUGAAAAAUGUAAUCACUCAAUGGGAGGCAAAGUAUAAAGAAGUAAAGGCAAGAAAUGCACAGUUAUUGAAAAUGCUUCAGGAAGGUGAAAUGAAAGAUAAAGCAGAAAUACUUCUGCAAGUUGAUGAAUCACAAAGUAUCAAGAAUGAACUGACUAUACAGGUGACUUCACUUCAUGCUGCGUUAGAACAAGAAAGAUCUAAAGUGAAAGUAUUACAAGCAGAAUUAGCCAAAUAUCAGUCAAAUUGGAGCAGAUUAAAUACAGAUGUAUAUAUAUGUCACUGAGCAAUAUGAAAAGUAUAAUCUACUUUUCAAACCAGUGAUGAACAAAAUCAUACUUCUAAUGCUGUUGUCUGGGUGGCAGAAAAGGGAAAAGAAACUCUGAAUUCGACCAGUGUAGGUGAUUCCAUUAGCCUUUGAGGUCAACACAAAAAUUAAAACUUUCAGGGUUUUGCAAAAAUGUAUAUAUUUAAUGCUGUGCAACUGCUAAGCUAUGCAGUUUUUGUUGAAGAAAUAUGUAAAACAGUUAGCUUACUAACAGUCUAUAAUUUUUUGUCCUUUUGGCUUAAAGUGAAAAGAAGAAAAACAGAAUUCCAGCAGAACACAAUGAUUAUUGUUUACUAUCCAUACUUCUUAUCACUUUAGUUUUUCAUCAGUCAAUAAAAUUAAUUUACUCUUCCAUUAA